rnacentral:rRNA from 1 species
UGAGGCCCAGCUUGCUGGGUUGGAUGAGUGGCGAACGGGUGAGUAAUACGUGAGUAACCUGCCCUUGACUCUGGGAUAAGCCUGGGAAACUGGGUCUAAUACUGGAUAUGACGCGUCCUCGUAUGGGGGUGUGUGGAAAGGGUUUUACUGGUUUUGGAUGGGCUCACGGCCUAUCAGCUGGUUGGUGGGGUAAUGGCCUACCAAGGCGACGACGGGUAGCCGGCCUGAGAGGGUGACCGGCCACACUGGGACUGAGACACGGCCCAGACUCCUACGGGAGGCAGCAGUGGGGAUAUUGCACAAUGGGCGAAAGCCUGAUGCAGCGACGCCGCGUGAGGGUGACGGCCUUCGGGUUGAAACCUCUUUCAGCACGGAAGAAGCGAAAGUGACGGUACGUGCAAAAAGCGCCGGCUAACUACGUGCCAGCAGCCGCGGUAUACGUAGGGCGCAAGCGUUGUCCGGAUUUUGGGCGAAAGAGCUCGUAGGCGGUUUGUCGCGUCUGCUGUGAAAGCCCGGGGCUUAACCCCGUGGUGUGCAGUGGGUACGGGCAGACUAGAGUGCAGUAGGGUAGACUGGAAUUCCUGGUGUAGCGGUGAAAUGCGCAGAUAUCAGGAGGAACACCGAUGGCGAAGGCAGGUCUCUGGGCUGUUACUGACGCUGAGGAGCGAAGCAUGGGGAGCGAACAGGAUUAGAUACCCUGGUAUCCAUGCCGUAAACGUUGGGCACUAUGUGUGGGGGACAUUCCACGUUUUCCGCGCCGUACUAACGCAUUAAUGCCCCUCCUGGGGAUACGGCCGCAGGCCAAAACUCAAAGGAUUGACGG